AAUUAGGUUUUUCUAAAAACCCCUGAAUUGAGACUUGAACUACAAGU
rfam:Triticum aestivum genome assembly, contig: Triticum_aestivum_CS42_TGACv1_scaffold_499791_6BL